GUGGUCACUUAGCAGCACAUAGACUAAAGUUGGAACAAUACAGAGAGGAUUAGCAUGACCCCUGCACAAACAGGACGUGCAAAUUCGUGAAGCAUUCUAUAGUUUA